rnacentral:rRNA from 1 species
UGGGGAAUAUUGGACAAUGGGCGAAAGCCUGAUCCAGCCAUGCCGCGUGUGUGAAGAAGGUCUUCGGAUUGUAAAGCACUUUAAGUUGGGAGGAAGGGCAGUAAGCGAAUACCUUGCUGUUUUGACGUUACCGACAGAAUAAGCACCGGCUAACUCUGUGCCAGCAGCCGCGGUAAUACUGAGGGUGCAAGCGUUAAUCGGAAUUACUGGGCGUAAAGCGCGCGUAGGUGGUUCGUUAAGUUGAAUGUGAAAGCCCCGGGCUCAACCUGGGAACUGCAUCCAAAACUGGCGAGCUAGAGUAGGGCAGAGGGUGGUGGAAUUUCCUGUGUAGCGGUGAAAUGCGUAGAUAUAGGAAGGAACACCAGUGGCGAAGGCGACCACCUGGGCUCAUACUGACACUGAGGUGCGAAAGCGUGGGGAGCAAACAGG